rnacentral:lncRNA from 1 species
CGGGGACUCGUCAAGCAGGAGCGGGAGCGGGAGUUCGCNCAGCUCGGGAUCAUCUUCGAGGGCCGAACAGUCAGAUGCCGGACAGCCAGCAGACCGAAUCAUACACGGGACGGCUCUCUAUCUCUUAGAGGGAGGCGUGCAGCUUGAACCCAUCCGUCCCAUGCCGGCCGGAGGAUGGCCAGUAAUAAGGGGGUAUGACUGGGC